AGCAGCCGCGGUAAUUCCAGCUCCAAUAGCGUAUAUUAAAGUUGUUGCAGUUAAAAAGCUCGUAGUUGAAUUUCGGGAUCGACGGGUCGGUCGCGCCUCUGGUGUGUACUGGCCCUGUCGGUUUCUCCCUUCUGACGAACCACGAUGUCAUUAAUUUGGUGUCGUGGGAAAUCAGGACUGUUACUUUGAAAAAAUUAGAGUGUUUAAAGCAGGCAUUCGCUUGAAUACAUUAGCAUGGAAUAAUGAAAUAGGACGUUUGAUCUUAUUUUGUUGGUUUCUAAGAUCGACGUAAUGAUUAAUAGGGAUAGUUGGGGGCAUUAGUAUUCAAUUGUCAGAGGUGAAAUUCUUGGAUUUUAUUGAAGACUAACUACUGCGAAAGCAUUUGCCAAGGAUGUUUUCAUUAAUCAAGAACGAAGGUUAGGGGAUCGAAGACGAUCAGAUACCGUCGUAGUCUUAACCAUAAACUAUGCCGACUAGGGAUCGGAUGAUGUUAAU
rnacentral:rRNA from 1 species